AAAGCAAGAGAAGGUAUGGGUAUAAGAGAUUUACACACUUUUAACAUGGCAAUGUUAGCUAAACAAUGUUGGAGAUUAUUAUGGGACCUAGAUUCUCUUUGUACCAAAGUUCUGAGAGACAGAUACUACCCUGGUGGAAACCGGUUAAAAGCAAAGUUGAACGGUGGAAGCUUAUUUACUUGGCAAAGUAUCAUAGUUGCGCUAUAA
rnacentral:rRNA from 1 species